AUUGAACGCUGGCGGUAUGCUUAACACAUGCAAGUCGAACGGAAACGAUACUAGCUUGCUAGUAGGCGUCGAGUGGCGGACGGGUGAGUAACGCGUAGGAAUCUGCCUGAUAGUGGGGGAUAGCCCGAAGAAAUUCGGAUUAAUACCGCAUAAUCUAUUCGUAGUAAAGUGGGGGACUUUCGAGCCUCACGCUAUCAGAUGAGCCUGCGUAAGAUUAGCUUGUUGGUAGGGUAAAAGCCUACCAAGGCGACGAUCUUUAGCUGGUCUGAGAGGAUGAUCAGCCACAUCGGGACUGAGACACGGCCCGAACUCCUACGGGAGGCAGCAGUGGGGAAUAUUGGACAAUGGGGGCAACCCUGAUCCAGCAAUACCGCGUGUGUGAAGAAGGCCUGAGGGUUGUAAAGCACUUUCAAUUGUGAAGAAAAGUUAGCGGUUAAUAACCGUUAGCCUUGACGUUAACUUUAGAAGAAGCACCGGCUAACUCCGUGCCAGCAGCCGCGGUAAUACGGAGGGUGCAAGCGUUAAUCGGAAUUACUGGGCGUAAAGCGUGCGUAGGCGGUUUAUUAAGUCAGAUGUGAAAGCCCCGGGCUUAACCUGGGAACUGCAUUUGAAACUGGUCAACUAGAGUAUGGUAGAGGAAAGUGGAAUUUCUGGUGUAGCGGUGAAAUGCGUAGAUAUCAGAAGGAACAUCAAUGGCGAAGGCAGCUUUCUGGACCAAUACUGACGCUGAGGUACGAAAGCGUGGGUAGCAAACAGGAUUAGAUACCCUGGUAGUCCACGCCGUAAACGAUGAUAACUAGCCGUUGGGGGGAUUUACCCUUUAGUGGCGAAGCUAACGCGUUAAGUUAUCCGCCUGGGGAGUACGGCCGCAAGGUUAAAACUCAAAGGAAUUGACGGGGACCCGCACAAGCGGUGGAGCAUGUGGUUUAAUUCGAUGCAACGCGAAGAACCUUACCUGGUCUUGACAUCCUGCGAACUUUCUAGAAAUAGAUUGGUGCCUUCGGGAACGCAGUGACAGGUGCUGCAUGGCUGUCGUCAGCUCGUGUCGUGAGAUGUUGGGUUAAGUCCCGUAACGAGCGCAACCCCUAUCCUUAUUUGCCAGCACAUCAUGGUGGGAACUAUAAGGAGACUGCCGGUGAUAAACCGGAGGAAGGCGGGGACGACGUCAAGUCAUCAUGGCCCUUACGACCAGGGCUACACACGUGCUACAAUGGGAAGGACAAAGAGCCGCGAAGCCGCGAGGUGUAGCUAAUCUCAUAAACCUUUUCGUAGUCCGGAUUGGAGUCUGCAACUCGACUCCAUGAAGUCGGAAUCGCUAGUAAUCGUAGAUCAGAAUGCUACGGUGAAUACGUUCCCGGGUCU
rnacentral:rRNA from 1 species